rnacentral:rRNA from 1 species
GACGAACGCUGGCGGCGUGCUUAACACAUGCAAGUCGAACGGAAAGGCCUUGCUUUUGUGGGGUGCUCGAGUGGCGAACGGGUGAGUAACACGUGAGUAACCUGUCCUUGACUUUGGGAUAACUUCAGGAAACUGGGGCUAAUACCGGAUAGGAGCUCCUGCUGCAUGGUGGGGGUUGGAUAGUUUCGGCGGUUGGGGAUGGACUCGCGGCUUAUCAGCUUGUUGGUGGGGUAGUGGCUUACCAAGGCUUUGACGGGUAGCCGGCCUGAGAGGGUGACCGGCCACAUUGGGACUGAGAUACGGCCCAGACUCCUACGGGAGGCAGCAGUGGAGAAUAUUGCACAAUGGGCGGAAGCCUGAUGCAGCAACGCCGCGUGCGGGAUGACGGCCUUCGGGUUGUAAACCGCUUUCGCCUGUGACGAAGCGUGAGUGACGGUAAUGGGUAAAGAAGCACCGGCUAACUACGUG